AAAAUCAAUUGUCACAGUUCAAUCCAAUUUUCGGACAGAAUGAGACGUGGAUGUAGAAAUGUGGUCAAUUUACUUAUAGGUUUAAUUUUUGUAACCAUUAUAAUAUUUAUCAACUAUCAAUAUUCAAUAUUGAUAACUAAGGAAAAUACAAAUGGUCAAUUUAGGCAACACAAAACUUGGAGUAAACAUGGUACUAAUAUCGUUAAUCCAAAAAAGUUAGUAUAUAGCAGCGGAGCUAGUCAAAUAAAUAAGGAUUUACAUGUGUAUGUCGUGGAAGAGCAUCACGCUG
rnacentral:lncRNA from 1 species